AUUGAACGCUGGCGGCAGGCCUAACACAUGCAAGUCGAACGAGUGGCGGACGGGUGAGUAAUGUCUGGGAAACUGCCUGAUGGAGGGGGAUAACUACUGGAAACGGUAGCUAAUACCGCAUAACACCCGUUCUGCCCAGAUGGGAUUAGCUUGUUGGGGGGGUAACGGCUCACAAAGGCGACGAUCCCUAGCUGGUCUGAGAGGCUGACCAGCCACACUGGAACUGAGACACGGUCCAGACUCCUACGGGAGGCAGCAGUGGGGAAUCUUGCACAAUGGGCGAAAGCCUGAUGCAGCCAUGCCGCGUGAGUGAAGAAGGCCUUCGGGUUGUAAAGUACUGUCAGCAGGGAGGCGUUACCCGCAGAAGAAGCACCGGCUAACUCCGUGCCAGCAGCCGCGGUAAUAC
rnacentral:rRNA from 1 species